rnacentral:rRNA from 1 species
GACGGAGGAUGCAAGUGUUAUCCGGAAUCACUGGGCGUAAAGCGUCUGUAGGUGGUUCGAAAAGUCCACUGUUAACAAUUGAGGCUUACCCUCAAAGAUGCCGUGGAAACUUUCAAACUAGAGUAUGGUAGGGGUAGAGGGAAUUUCCAGUGGAGCGGUGAAAUGCGUAGAUAUUGGAAAGACCACCGAGGGCGAAGGCACUCUACUGGGCCAUUACUGACACUGAGAGACGAAAGCGUGGGGAGCAAACAGG